UUGUACCUGGUGGCAGCUGAGUGGCCGUGCACCUUGUCCUCUCAGGCUACGCUGCAGUCCCCUCGCUCGUCAAUUGGUUGCGGCUUCAGCAACUGUGCUGCCGGUGGCUCUGAGGACGUUUGAGCCGCGCUUUGGCGGGAGGUGGAUCUGGCCGCGUCGGAACUUAGUGGAAGGGCUUGUCUGCGUUCUUUCGAGUCGCUUGUUUCUUCCGGAUCUUUCCAAGUACGCGAGAUUGUGGGCAGUACUGUGCCCGUCGUUUUGUACUAUGGUUUCACGAAAGGAAGAAAAAAAAGUGUGUGUGUGUGUGUGUGUGUGUGUGUGUGUCCUUUUAAAGAAACUGUUACCUGACAGAAAGCCAGACCAUGUUUUUGUCUUUUGUACCAGAUAGUUUAUUCCUUUGUCAAGUACGUUUUCAGCCCCGCAGGACACUGUCUAUACCACAAGCCCCUCUCCCCUUCUGUCUUUAAGUCCUUGAUAUUUGACUUCAACUUCCGCUAAAACUUCUCUCCCAAAGAAGGCUAGCCACCCUCUAUUUGUUAAAUUUGGUUGGUCUCUUUUCACUCGAAUCUUCUGAGACCUUACCUUGAUAUAGCGCAGUCAACCGCCUCUUUGAAAGAGGGUGGGGAUUGGUACCUUCUUUAGAGGGUUAUUUUCAUAUUGGAAGAACUUCAUAAACUUAACUAUGGAAAUAUUAGGAAUCACAGUAUGUCUUCUACACUAAAGUGUAAGCUUCUUGAAAAAGCAUCAGUCAUAUAGAUAAAAAAAUUUUGGUAAAUGAACUUUUAUUCAGAUUUGAUAAAUGUACUUUAAAUUCUAUACAUCAUACAGAGGUAGAAUUAUUCAUAACUGCCCUGCUCUAUUUUACUCUGUUUACGUUCAAUGUUUUAUCUCCAUUUGGUGUCCCAGUAUUAUCCUCAACUCAGUGUGAUGAAACCAUUGAACUUUUAUGGGACCUUCAAGAUUACGUGGUGCCCCUUUAUCUUACGUGUAAGGAACUGACAGAGAAGCGAAGUAACUUCCCUAGCUAGUUAGAGGGACAAAGUGGAACCAUGGAUUCUCACAGCCCUCAGUCCUUUGCUGUACCACCACCCCCAGUCUCACUCCUUGCUCUCUCCAAAUUAUUCAUCAUUCCAAUUGCCUGUUUGUCCUCAUGGUAGCAUCAUACUCUUGGUUUCUGCAUCUUUGGACUCAGGCCUUUGAGCACUCUCCAUCAUCUUUGUCACCAUCCCCACCCAAUCUUAGUUGCAGUCUCUUUUAUCUAAAGCGCUCAAUUUCUGUUCAUUCCAUCUAAAGCUUGUACUGUUGUUACAGGCCUUCUGUUGCCACUACCACACUUUCCUCUGUUAUUCCUAACCGAAAUCACCCAGUAUAAUCUACGGCAGCUCAAAAGUUGAGAAAUAAUUACAGUGAACUAUAACUUCCUCACGUUCUGAGCAUCUUUGUUGUCUCAAAUUAAAUGCUUCCAGGCUUUUCUUCCUCCCAUCUGUACUGCAUGUGAUGACAUACUGAACUUAUUAAAAGUUUCCUCGUACCAUAGCCAUCCUCAGGAUCCCAAAUAGUUCUCCAUGUCCUUUAACAACAAGUCUAAAGUAAAAUCUCUACAUUGACUAGGCCUUCUAUGUAAUUAAUUUUAUUUCCUUCCAGUGCUGUACACCAUUUCUCUGCCCCAUCAGGCCAGCAUCAUUGCCUUGCUUCUUUUUUCCUGCCAUUGGCAAUCACUUCCUUCUUGGAAAAGCUCCGUUUGCCAUCCAUUAGACCAGCCUUUUUCUAUCUUUUUACCCUGGAAGAACCAUUGAAGUAAUUUUUAUGUCUCAGAAAACCCUGCAUAAUAUAAAUAUGUAUGUAAUAUAAACAUAUAUAUACGUAUAUAUGUAUAUAUCCAUCCUAGUACAUUAACAUGAUCAGCAGCUUAUAGACACAUAGACAUGGUAGUCCAAUAAUAAUUGUCAAUACUCUUUUUUUCAAUUGUAGUAAAAUACACAUAACAUAAACUACCACAUUAAUCAUUUUGAAGUGUAUAGUUCAGUGGUUCACAUUGUGUAACUUGGUGCUCUUUUGAGUAGAGAAUGGUGUUUUUCUAUGAAUCUGUUUAUUUUUGUCCAACUUACUACCCUACUCUGUGUAGUUUCCCCCCUCUCACAAAGGAUCUCAAUGCUUUUUUUAAAUUUUUUUAUCGAAGUAGAGUUUCUGUACAAUAUUAUAUAAGUUACAGGUGUACAAUAUAGUUAUUCAUAAUUUUUAAAGGUUAUACUUCAUUUAUAGUUAUUUUAAAAUAGGAUAUCAAUUCUGAUGCAAAUUAAGUGGGAGAGGAAACUUCAAUUUUUCAUUUAAUUUAUUAGAUUGCAAAAAUUGAUUUUAAUGAAUAUUAAUCAUUUUAUAGGCCUAUAUGUGCAUAAAAGUGUUAUUUUUGAAACUAAAGAAAAUAAUGUGAAAUCUUUGCUUGUCUUUUGCUACGUAUAUGGUCAAUUCUGAGUCGAUCCUGAGACUCACAUACACAGAUCUCAUUUUCAGCUGAAAUAAGAUUAUUUCAGUCACUGUUUUUAAGCUCAAAGAAAAAGCUUGCUCACACAAGUAAGAAGUUGGAAAGUACAGUAAAAUGUUUAUUUCGUAUGAAUGGCAGGAUACUCUUUCACAAAAAUCCAGAACUUGUAGAAAGGCAAAUCAGUUAAGUUUCAUCUUAUGUUUAUAAUCAUAACCUUACAAACCCUCCCUCUUCUCUCAAAGUCAGGUGCACAGGUUGAGGAGCAGAUUCAGAGAAAGGAACCCUCAUUCAGUCAUUUACUUGUGUUAAAGGGAGGGAAAAUAUGGUUCAGUUUUGUUCUGCAGUUCCCUCAGGUGGUUUGGUCUUAACUUGAGACCCUCACUCUAAAGUGCAAGCAACAGUAGAAACAUUUCAAGAUUUUUUUGGCCGUAUGAUUUUUCCAGAGUUUCAGUUUCCAUUUAAAACCAAGAAUCUUGUCACUUGAAACCAAGAUAUUUUCUCCAGACCCUAGUAUUCCCACAGUUCACUUUUCAGCUGAAGCAUCCUGUUAAGAACCAAAAUCAAUAUUAGUUUCUCUUACUGUAUAACAAAUUACCCCAAAACUUAAUGGCUCAAUGUAAUAAACAUUAUCUUGAAUAAUCUCCAUAAGUCAGAAAUUCAGGAGCAGCUUAGCUAGGUGGUCUGGCUCUGGAUCUCAUGACGUAGCAGUCAUGAUGUUGACUGGGGCUGCAGUCAUCUGAAGGCACGACUGGGAGUGGAGGAUCAAUCUCUGAGGUGCCCUCAGUUCCUUGCCACGUGGGCUUCUUUACAGAGUGCUUAAGCAUUCUCAUGACAUGGCAGCUGUCUUCCCCCAGAACAAAUGCUCUCUUAAGUCAUAAGAUUUUAUGCAUGUGGCAGAUUUCCGUGGUCUCUGUCCAGAUUUUUACACAGUUUUUUAAAUGUUCUCAGGUAAACUGGUCUUUGAUAAGGUUAAUUAUUUUUGUAUCAUUAUCCAGAAUUUUUUUCAUUUCAGCUCCAAAAGUUUCUACCAGCAACUCUCCUGGAGGAAAGAAGGGUGUUGUGAAUUCAUUAGAAUUUUCUCUUUUAAGAAAGUGAACCAUCUCAGGGAACAAUGUUCAAAUCAUUGACAGGGCACCGUCGGUCAGUUGCCAACACAUUUCUUCCAAGAUGUACCUUUUGUUUCCAAUAUGAAGACAAAACAGUAAAUGUAUCUUGGCCUUUGCUUGUUUUGGGCAGCAUUUUAUAGCAGAAAAAUUUUCUCAAAUUUGACUACAAUUUACAUCAUAUAAGUGCUAUCAUAUGACAUUUGUUGUUGAAAUCUGUUGAUCCAUCAAUCUGGAUAAAAGGUUGUUUUUUGGUUUAUUAUACAAAAUCUCUUUAGCAUCAUGUGACAUGUCAUCAAUUACAUCAACUUAUCAAACUUUGAGAGUGAAACCUUUCUAGUUUCUCAUAUAAUGUCUUAUCCUGACAUUUUGCUCUCUCUAAAUUUACAUACUAGAAUUGUGAGGUUCUUCCCAACUCUGGUUUUUUUUUCCUUUUUUAGUCAAAAUGUUCUGCCACUUGAUAACUACCUUUCUAAAAGGUGACUUUUUUAAAACAAGUUUUUCACUUUGGGAUUCCAAAGGCCAUUUGAAAUUAUUUGCUCUCUUACUGUGAUUUGAGUGUAAGUUGUGAUUCUUUAUUACUAUCAGAAUUACCUAGGCCUAGAAUUCUCUUUCAUCUCCCACUUUGUCUUCAAAAAUCACCACAUUGAACUCUAAGUCAUGUUUAUAAAACAGGUGUUAAUAAAGUGUAAAACAAACUAAAAAGAAAUCAGAAAAAAAUGAAAUCGUUAUAACAAUUCACUAUUAACAUACAAGCUCUAUCCACGCAUUACAUUUGAUUGAUAUGUCUCUUAAGUCUCUUUUAUUCUUUAUCAGUUUUCUCUCCUUAUUUUCUUUCAUGGCAUCUACUUGUUGUAGAAACUGAGUUUUUUAUCUUGUAGAAUUUCCCAUCUUCUUGGUCAUAUAAACCAUGUUUCUCUGUCCUCUGUGUUUCCUGGAAACUGGUAGUUGCCUGGUAGUGAGAUCUGGAGAAUCGAUUAUGUUCAGGUUCAAUUUUUUUUUUCCAAGAACACUUCUUACAGCAUCACACGAGGAGGCACAUGACAUCUGGUUGUUUCUCUUUGGGUGUUGUUAAGAUUGAUCAGUGGGAUCAGUAUAUCACCCUGAUCCAUCUGUGAGAAAGUUCCCUGCAAGCUUUUCACCUGACGGCUUUAGCAGCUAUCAAUGAUCCUCAUCUAGAUUCGUCUAUACAUGAGGGAUUGCAAAAUGGUGAUAUGCUAAUUUUAUCAUUCCUUUAGCAAUUAUUAGCUGACAUAAAGAACUUUUCUUCAUUAUUUUUUAAUAUUUAUUUUUACUUAAAUCCUUUGUUAUCAUUGUCCUUUUUAAUGCUUAAAUUGUUUCAUCUUUGGCUGUGAGAAACCCUUCAAGUUUGGUCCUAUGUCGUUAAUACCACUUACUAGCCUCUGAGAGCUUCCUUGCUCUCUGACACCAGAUGUCUCUAUCUAACAUAUCUUAUACAUUUCCUGCCCCAGCCCUUUCUUUAGGGAGCCCUUGUUCCUUUUAGUAGGAAAGGGUAUGUAAAGAACACAAUCUGGCACUAAGGGGUGGUCAUUGCUUCUGGAUUAUCAUGACUUCUAUGCCUUAUCAUUGGACAGAGAUAGGAGAUAUCUUUAGUACAUAUUUUUAGAAAGAAAGAAAAAAAAACAUGGUUUGUACUGAUAUGUCCAAAGUUAAGACUAAAGGGUUUUUGCUUCUUUUGAAUUUAAACGUGUGCCUCUCCUACCCUGAAAUUAUGACAUUAACAUAAUUAUUUACUUGAGCCUAUAUACAUAUGUAUGUGUGUGUGCAUAAAAAGUUGUCAAGUGUUAAUGUUAUUAUUAGCACUGCUGAAUCCUAUUUAAGAUUUUGUUUGUAUCAGUUUGCUGAUAUUUUGUUUAGGAUUUUUGCACCUAUAGUCAUAGAUGAGGUUGGUCUUCCUUUUCACUGUGCCGUACAUACUGGUUGUGUAGCUUCUCACUACAGAGCACUGUGUGGAUGAUUGUGUAGGAGAAGAUGGGGUGGGAUGUGAGCCCUUGGGAGAUUGCCUAUAACUUGCUUUUUUAAGUGUAGAGAUACCCUGAACCCCAUGAAGUUGUACCUGGAAUGGUUCUCUGCUUCUCCUGCCCCAGUGUUCACUCCAGGGGAACUAGGUUAGAACAUGCACUGCAGAGAGCCUUUUGUAGGUUGUAUCCUGGAGCAAAUGCUGAAUAAAUCUUCACUGUUUGUAUCCUGUUGAUGGACUCCCUCUUCAUUUUUCAAUGGUACAAUAGAAUUAUUUUUAUAUUUAUUUUUACUGAGAUGUUGGAAGGGAAGAGAUGUAAACUGUAUAGAAUGUCAGUCAUUGUGAGCCGUUUAUUACAUUUUCUAUUUGUUAAUUGCUGACAGAUUAGAAAAAGUCAUUUUCUUAUGUUGAUUGUGUAUCCAGUCGCUUUAAUAAACUUUGACUUUAGGUCUAAUAGUUUUCAAUUAAUUUUAUCUAAGUAGACAGUCAUUUCAUCUGCAAUAAUGGCAAUUUUGUCUCUUCUACUCCAAUAUUUAUAAUUUUUUUCAUGUUUAUUCCCUCCAAUAACAGCAGUAUUGAAAUAUU